AAGUCGUAACAAGGUUUCCGUAGGUGAACCUGCGGAAGGAUCAUUAUUGAAUGUUGAGUGUGUCUCCUUCACAGGAGUGCAUUCUUUCACAUCCAUAACACCUGUGCACUGUUGGUUGUUGCAAAGCUGUGACAGCACUGUCCUGCUGAUCAACAACCUACUUUCAUACCCACAAACAUAUGUAACAAAUGUAGUCUUAUUAUAACAUAAUAAAACUUUCAACAACGGAUCUCUUGGCUCUC
rnacentral:misc_RNA from 1 species